rnacentral:rRNA from 1 species
AAUCAACGCUGGCGGCGUGCCUCAGACAUGCAAGUCGAACGCGAAAGGCUCCUUCGGGAGCCCGGUAGAGUGGCGCACGGGUGAGUAACACGUGGGUAAUUUACCUUCGGGUGGGGAAUAACAGCCGGAAACGGCUGCUAAUACCGCAUAAUGCAGCGGCACCACAUGGUGACAGUUGUUAAAGUGGGGGAGUCGCAAGACCUCACGCCUGAAGAGAAGCCCGCGGCGGAUUAGCAGUUGGCGGGGUAAUGGCCCACCAAGGCGUCGAUCCGUAGCCGGCCUGAGAGGGCGGUCGGGCCACACUGACACUGAAUAACGGGUCAGACUCCUACGGGAGGCAGCAGUCGGGAAUUUUGGGCAAUGGGCGCAAGCCUGACCCAGCAACGCCGCGUGAAGGAUGAAAUCCCUCGGGAUGUAAACUUCACAAGAACGGGAAGAAUAAGUGGGGAC